GGCUCAGAGGCACUCUGCAGUCACACAGCUGGAGGGGUGCAGUGAGACGCGGAGGCUCCAAGUCUCUUCUGGACUAGGCCUGGAUCUGCCACCUCUUCUUUCGGCUGUGGAUGGCCCUGGGAGACACGCCUGGCCUCAGAUGCCCCUUGACCCAACUGGAGGAAGGGUGGGGGGCCCAGCAGAAAAGCCUGCAGCCUCCCUGGGCACCGUUUCAAAGCUGAUGCUGCUCUCCCUGCUCUGGGUCUCAGCUCCUCCCCUCUUCUGCAUUGUUGACCAACAGCCUGGGUCUGACGCGGAAGCAGAAGAAUUCCCAUUCAACUGGGCCCCAGGGAUGGGGGGCCUCUCUGCCAAAAGCAACAGGCUGCCCAACAGACCUCUCAUUGAUUGGAAGAGAAAUGAGCCCAGAGCCUCCUAACAACAGCCUUGGAGUGGACAGGAUGAUGAACAGUGAUGCCAAAGACUCAGGAUCUGAAGGCAGACAGGCCUGGUCCACCACCUGUGUCUGCCAUUUGCAGGAUGAGUGACCUUGAGUAGGUCACCUCACACCUCUGAACCUGAAUUCUACAUCUGCAAAACAGGAAUGAUGACCCUGACUGACAGCCUCCCUGUGAGGAGUAAGCCAUACAGCAUCCCUCCCUCCUUCACGUGACAAACUUUUCCUGAGUCCUGACCUCGGGGGCAGGAGCUGGAGAUACUACACUGGAUUAGAAAGAUGAGUUUCCAGUCAAGUGUGGGAGAGAGAAGUAGCCAGGAUGUAGAACCUGACAAGGGAAGAGUUCAGGAACUUGCCCAGUUGAGCAGCCAGUGAACGGGACAGCCCUGAGCACGGUGCACGUGAGAACACAGAGGGGACCCCUGGAGGGCCUGAUGUCCAGGUUCUGGGGUGGCUCGUGAGUGACAGCAGUACUGGUAUGCUGGUGAGUGCCUCAGCAGGAGCUCCCUCUGUCCCCCUACCAACUCCCCGAUGUCUGGACGGCACCAGAGCCCGCCUGGGAGGCCACGAGCUAACACUCUCAAGAGGAAAACAGGGGGAUCAAACCAAUGACCCAAGGGCCUACAGCUAAGAACUGCUGGAGCCAGGCUCUGAACUGAGCUCUGCCUGACUCCAGAGGUGGUUUCUACCACCAGGCAAUACAACAGGGAGACACGCAGGUGUGUCAGAGAGCAGUCCUCACAGUGCGAGCACAGAAACCAGAGGCCAAGGCUGAAGAUUUUCCUGGACUCGCGGUGCUGCCCAGGAAUCUUCUGAGAAAACCUGUCAGUUGGUAAAGCCACGUGGAGGCGGGGCUAACAAAAUCUGGAAAUGUCUUCACCAGUUCCAAAGUACACACAAACAUUACUUGCCCUCUCUGGGGGUCAACGUUCUUUAUGCUGAGAAGGUUUCUCCAUUUCCUUUCUCACAGCCUAUUUGUUGGUGUGGAACUGCCUGUGAAGUCAUUCUGCAGGGGUGGAAAGUGGGGGCCAGCUCUCUGUGGGCAACAGGGACCAUCCCAGAGACAAAGGGCAGCCUCAGCCCACAGACCACUUCGGACUUGAAUCAAGGCCUCAAAGGGCGAGACCUGGGCCACUGUCAAUGUGAGGGCAGGGCUGAAGCCAGGGAUUUGGAAAAUUGGUGGAAAACACUCCUAUGAGCUGGGGCUUGCUCUGCUGUGGAAAACUGCCAGCAUCAGCACUUCUCCCAAGGCUGUGCCGAGUCAGCAGUCAGCCCACUCUGGAGCUGCCUCUGAGGACCAGGUGCCUACAGGACCCUGUAAGGAGCUUGAAGAGUUGUGGCUGACGGAGGGAUUUCUGUCCUGGGCUCUAGGAAUUCUAGACUGGGCCCUUCCUCAAGGAGCUUUCAGUCUGGCGGAGCAGACAGACAUGGGCAAAUAAGCCCACAACUAACUGUGCCAUCACUGCAGAAGGAAGUGCCACGGAGGAGCAUGAGGGCCAGUUGCAGGAAGGAGCCAGGGCCAGCAUGUGCCUGUAAAAGCCAGAUAGUAAAUAGUUCACGCUCUGCAGGCCACAGGGUCUUUGUCCCAAGCACUCAACUCUGCCACUGCUGCAUGAAAACAGCCACAGGCGAUAUGUCAACCAAAGAGGGGUGGUUGUGCCCAUAUGAAAACAGAGGGUGGAUCUGUCCCACAGUUUGCCACAGCCUGGCUGUUAGACGGCCUGACCUGAUUGGGGGUGGGGGUGAUAGUGGGGAGAAGGCUUCCCCGAGGCAGUGAUAUUUAGCUAAAAGCUGCAGGCUGAGGCAAUGAUGGAGGCAGAAUCACAAUAUGACAAUUAUGAUAAUCACAUCACCAUGAUCAAGUUCCACCUAACACGUGUGUUCUAUGUUGCGCACUGUGCUAAUAACAACACUACCCUGUGAAGGAGGAAGAUUUUAUGCCCACUUUACAGAUAGAGACACUGAGGCUUGGCAGUAUGCUGAGUAGUCUGUUCACACAAUUCAGCUGCAUUUUUUGC
rnacentral:lncRNA from 1 species